GUGGAUCAUAACGAUGGGCAAUCAAGAUAAUCUUCCAGGAUAGUAUUGAUAGGUCCUUCAGCCUUUACAUUAACUAUUUGUAUUGUGCUAAACCGUUAAUCCUUAUUUGUAAGCUGCACCACUAGAGUCGACUAGGUUUUCUUCACCUCCCAGUCUAUAAAUCCAUUAUCAACAUUAUUAAUCUGGUCAUUACUAAGCCCUUCUCUUGUCACUGG